AUGGAGUCUUCGCACCCAGUGAGAAACAACGGCCGUGACCCCGCGGCUUUUCCGAGAGGAACGAGGCAACAGACCCUGUUGCGUUUGUGUUGUUGAAACGCCGCUGAGGUCUGGGCUAUAUCAGAAACAGCGUGGCCGUAGGAGCAGGGCAGGGACCGAGCCCCUGUGCUCGGCGCUGGUGAGGCCGCAGCUCGGAUCCUGGGCUCAGUGCUGGGCCCUCAGUGCAAGAACGGCAUUGAGAGGCUGGAGCGUGUCCAAAGGAGGGAACAGAGCUGGGGAGGGGGCUGGAGAACAAGGGUUAUGAGGAGCAGCUGAGGGACCUGGGGCUGUUCAGUCUGGAGAAGAGGAGGCUGAGGAGAGACUUCAUCGCUCUCUGCAGCUCCUGAAAGGAGGUGGUGAGAGAGAGCCUGGCAAUCCCGUGGAAUGUUUUCUGAGGGACACAGUGGACCAAGUUGGAAGCUCUUUUACUAAACCUGCACAGGUUAUUAAGCUGAAUCAAGCCACAGAAGGGUCUAAUGACUGCCAGAGCCUCUGAGGGAAAAAGAAUGGAAGCAGGAUCUUCUCAUUUCGUUAGGAGCAAGCCUCCAGAUUGCAUGACAGCAUUUCAGUUGUGUGUCUGCAAUUUACCUGGGAUCUUUCUACAUCCUUGCACAGAGAGUGGAAUCAGUUCAGAGGUUCCUCUAACAGCGGUUGUAUUGGAGAACUCCACCUUCUGUGAGCACUCAAAGUAUCUGUUACUUGGACAAGAUCUAGUUAUGUAGCUCAUGGUGGCACUAAAAUCAGAAACUGUUUUGUGUUGAAAAAAAUCAGAAAGUAAUUCUUCUGAGCUAUAGCUUUAAAAUGGAACUGCCUUCCCCCCAAACAACCAAAAAAGGAACACACGAACUGUGCUCGUUGCAAUAAAAUGUAAUGAUCUCUUGGAUCUUGCAGGAAACUGAUCUUAUUCUAACUUUUUAUAAUCUGACACACUUCCACAAGAACCCAUUCUCUCAGCAUAGCCUCCAACCUAGAGCUAAUUUAGAGAAGAUUUGGGAGGAUGAUGCAAUAUAAGCUGCGUUUGCAUAACUCAUCACUGUUUUCAUUUGAAAUCUCUCGUUAAGACUCAUAUUACUGUUUGGAAACUUACUCAGUUCUUUCCUUCUCAGUGACGAGGCUGAUUUGGUAAGCUUCUCAGUAUAAUAAAUAUGCUGAGAAUAUAGAAGUACCCUAAAAUCAUACUAGAUAUUAAAUUAUAGCGUAAUUCAUAUAAAAGUGAAGAUUUUGGGCUAGAAUGCCAAUUGAAAGUUCCAGGUUUACAAAUAAACAAAUGAUUUUUGUACACAAACAAGUAAGAACUUACAGUGUCCACAUUUCUUUCUUGUUACAAAGUUUGUGGCCAGAAUCCAGUUUUUCUGAAUCCUUUCUUAAUUUUUUGGAACUAAAAUCUGAGCAGAUCAUUUAAAUGUCUUUCUACACCACCUAGCAAGUGUUAGAUUAUCAUUUCAAUGUUUAAAAAUGUGUAUGUUCUAUAGUAUCAGAGAAAAGCCUGAAAAAAACUCAUUUGCAAAAAGAAAAUUAAUUUUUAGCAAAGCAAAUGCUUUAUUUUAAAAAGCCCGUACAUCUACUAUUCCCAGAUUGUCUGCAACCAGUUUUGUAGUUGAAUUUGUUCCCGUAUGUUAUUAUAUUUAUUUUUAUUCUAGUUAAAGCAUAAACCAUCUACUCACUUUCCAUUAAAGCUAUUGUACAGAAAAAUGUCAGGUAAAUUAAACGAUCCUUUUAUGCUCUUUCUCCUUAACUAUCCAGUUUUUUAAAAUCAAUAAAAAUCUGAAUCUCAACAAACGUCUUUUCAAAAUAGUGUUUAUAUGCCUGAAAUACAUUUUCUUACCAUUUACGGUAGUUGAAGUGAUUCCAUUACACUUAAAAUAUUUUUAAAAGGUCCCCUGGAAUUCCAUAUGAAGUAUUGUUCAGAUCUGUAAACGUUAUUUAUAGACUUCAUGAAAUGCCACUAACCAAAGCUGAAAAGACGAGGAUUACACGGCACUUGUUCUCUUUAUGGGUUAAAAAUUGUUAAAUGACCCUUUUAUCAGAGGAAAAAAAAACCCAUGAACUACAGCAAAUGCAACUAAGAAUUUCAUUUUAAUACCAAAGCUGCUGCCUGCUAAAGCGGAGUCAGUAGAGUUGGUAUUCAUUGAAAUUCGGCAGUGACUGGGGCAAAUGUUAAGCUGAAAUGGACAGCAUUUUAAAUCUGUUUUGCCACUCAGAUGCA